rnacentral:rRNA from 1 species
CUCGUACCCUUUGCAUCAUGGUCUAGCUAGUCUAACCAAGCAAAAAGAUAUUUAAGUUUGACACCCCGAAACUAAGCGAGCUACUUCAAAAUAACUCAAAGAGCCAACCCGUCUCUGUUGCAAAAGAGUGGGAAAAUUUUCAAGUAGAAGUGAUAAACCUAUCGAGCUUAGAGAUAGCUGGUUAUUCAGGAAAAGAGUUUUAGCUCUACCUUAAGUUUUAUUAUUUUACCAAAAACUCUUCCAAACUUAAGAGCUAUUCAAAUAAGGCACAGCUUAUUUGAAUUAGGAUACAACCUAUACUAGCGGGUAAACUAGAGUGAUCUAAAUUAAGUAGGCCUAAAAGCAGCCACCUUUAAAAAAGCGUUACAGCUUAACCUUUCCUCCACCACGAAUUUAUUAUAAUCCUCUGAACCCCUCAUCCCUACUGAAUAAUUUUAUAUUUUAUAAAAGCUAUAAUGCUAGAACUAGUAACAAGAAAUUAACUUUCUCCUUAAUGUAAGUAUAAGCCAGAAUGGAUCCCCCACUGGUAUUUAACGCAUAUGAAAACACUAUAACAACAUCUUCCAGAAAAUCUUAUUGAAUUAAACGUUAACCUUACACCAGAACAUUCCAGGAAAGAUUUAAAGAGAGAGAAGGAACUCGGCAAAUUUUAGCCCCGCCUGU